UAGGGAAUCUUCCACAAUGGACGCAAGUCUGAUGGAGCAACGCCGCGUGAGUGAAGAAGGUUUUCGGACCGUAAAGCUCUGUUGUUGGUGAAGAAGGAUAGAGGUAGUAACUGGCCUUUAUUUGACGGUAAUCAACCAGAAAGUCACGGCUAACUACGUGCCAGCAGCCGCGGUAAUACGUAGGUGGCAAGCGUUGUCCGGAUUUAUUGGGCGUAAAGCGAGCGCAGGCGGAAGAAUAAGUCUGAUGUGAAAGCCCUCGGCUUAACCGAGGAAUUGCAUCGGAAACUGUUUUUCUUGAGUGCAGAAGAGGAGAGUAGAACUCCAUGUGUAGCGGUGGAAUGCGUAGAUAUAUGGAAGAAUACCAGUGGCGAAGGCGGCUCUCUGGUCUGCAACUGACGCCGAGGCUCGAAAGCAUGGGUAGCGAACAGGAUUAGAUACCCUGGUAAUCCAUGCCGUAAACGAUGAGUGCUAAGUGUUGGGAGGCUUCCGCCUCUCAGUGCUGCAGCUAACGCAUUAAGCACUCCGCCUGGGGGAGUACGACCGCAAGGUUGAA
rnacentral:rRNA from 1 species